rnacentral:misc_RNA from 1 species
UUUCCGUAGGUGAACCUGCGGAAGGAUCAUUAUUGUAUCAUGACUGUGGGAGGGCUGUCGUUUGCAAGGAUGUUCCAGCACGGCCGAAUCACAUCACACCUAUCCAUCUAACACCGGUGUGAGACACUGCAGCGGGCCCCCUUACCCUUGUUGGGGAAGCGGCUUACGGUUUCACUGGAUCUUAAUCUGCAGUGGAGAUCGGAGUUUGUGUUUUUUGGAACACCCAAUCUAUACAACUUUCAACAACGGAUCUCUUGGCUCUCGCAUCGAUGACGAACG